UUCUGCUCAAUACUCUGCGAUGGCUCCCAUGC
rnacentral:piRNA from 1 species